AAUAAUUGCGCAAACGCCACUCUCCCAAUUCCAAAACCCUAUACGCAGCUUUCUCUCUCAUCUUUCUCAGACAACGACUUCUGUUGUCAUUUUGGUUUCUUUCUCUCUCUCUCGCUCUGUCUCUCUACACCGCUCUUUCCAAUCUCCACCGAGGUCUCGACGACAAAUCCAAGCUGGGCCAAGAAACCUGCGGGGAAGGUAAGAUAAGGAUACCCAGCGAAAUCUUUCGAAUCUUUCGAGUUUCGAGUCCCGUCGGAAGCUGGACGAAGAAAGCCUGCCAGCUGCAUGGACGGUGGGAGCUGGGCCAAGAAAGCAAAGAAACUCUGGGUUUAGAAACAAAAAUAGUUCAGAAAUAAAAAUUGGCUUUGUGGAGGAGAAAGAGUGCCAGAGAUUUUGCAGCUUCAACUUGCUUAUGAGAGGUAUUUUCUGUUGUCCACCAUGUGUUUGUUAAAAUGCAUGUUGCAAAAUUCAUCUCUCUCUUUUAUUUGUAGAGACUUUGUAGUGAACUAGAGGGCUUCUGCAGAUUUUUUUUUUCUCCUUUUUGAACAACGUAUAUGACUGGAACUUUACUCUCUUCUAUUUGCAGAGACUUUGUAGUGAAGUAGAGAGCUUCUGUAGAUUUUUUUCCCCCUGUUUGAACGGCGUAUAUGACUGGAACUUGAACAUCGAAAGGAAAAUUUCACAAUCUACAUCACUUACUUUUGUGUUGGUGAAACUUUGUUUGGCUAACUGAAAAUUUCACAAUCUACUUUAUUUUACUGUUGCAUAUAUGUAUGUAUAGCCAAACAAACUUUGAGCCAAACUUGUUUGGCUUCCACAAGGAAAUUGACAGUUCUUUGUAGCUAACUUAAAAAUUUAGUUGGGAGAGUGCCGUAAGCACGAGUAAUUCUCUUUCGUGCCACUAAGAAGAGGAUCACAUACUACAUACUAAUGAAUCGAUUUAGUGUUUGAGCCACUAGCUAGCAAGUGCCAUAGGCACGGGUAAAAGUGGAGUAAUUUUGCCAUGUGAGCAUGAGAUAAUUAGAAAAAAGAAAAGAAUGAGCUAUAUGUCCGAAGGCACCCUGAUUUUUCGAAUUCUCAGUUGACAGAUCUGUGCUAGAUUUUCUUUUCUUUUGUCUGUGCGUACUUUGUGUGUGAUGAGAUGCUAUGUUUGUUCUCUUAAUUGCGGUAAAUGGUCUCUCGACACACACAAGAGAGAGAGAGAGAGAGAGAGAGAGAGAGAGAUGAGGGACUUCAAGAGUGAGCUAGAGUGGUACUGAUAAGUGAUAUGAGAGAGAGCGAGAGAAAGAGAGAGAGAGGGACUUCACGAGCGAGCUAGAGUGGUACUGACAAGUGAUAUCAUAUUUUUGAAGUAAUGCAUAUGUUCUGUGCAAUAAAUAAACAUGUGUAUCAUAUUUUUUCAAGUAGGUAGAUAUCUGUUCAAAAAAAAGAAGAAGUAGUAUUUGUUCAAAUAUUUUGGAAGUACCUCCACGUGGUAUUCCGGACCAUUUUACAAUCACGCGUUUCCGUCGGGUCCAUACACUUGGUGGUAGACAAGAAUGUGUGGUCAUAAAAUGAUACGUAGUAUCAAGUGGCCGUACUCCCGAACUGUUAUAUAAUUUCACGUCGAUAAAACCCUUUUUAGAAAAGAAAGAAAGAAAG